rnacentral:rRNA from 1 species
GAUGAACGCUGGCGGUAUGCUUAACACAUGCAAGUCGAACGGACUCUUCGGAGUUAGUGGCGGACGGGUGAGUAACGCGUGAGAAUCUGGCUUUGGGUUCGGGACAACCACUGGAAACGGUGGCUAAUACCGGAUGUGCCGAGAGGUAAAAGAGAAAUUGCCUGAAGAUGAGCUCGCGUCUGAUUAGCUAGUUGGUGAGGUAAAGGCUCACCAAGGCAGCGAUCAGUAGCUGGUCUGAGAGGAUGACCAGCCACACUGGGACUGAGACACGGCCCAGACGCCUACGGGAGGCAGCAGUGGGGAAUGUUCCGCAAUGGGCGAAAGACUGACGGAGCAAUACCGCGUGAGGGAAGAAGGCUCUUGGGUUGUAAACCUCUUUUCUUAGGGAAGAACAAAAUGACGGUACCUAAGGAAUCAACAUCGGCUAACUCCGUG